rnacentral:rRNA from 1 species
AGAGUUUGAUCCUGGCUCAGAAUCAACGCUGGCGGCGUGCCUCAGACAUGCAAGUCGAACGAUUAAAGCUCCCUUCGGGGAGUGCAUAAAGUGGCGCACGGGUGAGUAACACGUAAGUAAUCUACCUCUGAGUGGGGAAUAACGUCCGGAAACGGACGCUAAUACCGCAUAAUGCAGCGGCACCGCAAGGUGACAGUUGUUAAAGAUUUAUCGCUUGGAGAGGAGCUUGCGGCAGAUUAGCUAGUUGGUAAGGUAAUGGCUUACCAAGGCAACGAUCUGUAGCCGGUCUAAGAGGACGGUCGGUCACACUGACACUGAAUAACGGGUCAGACUCCUACGGGAGGCAGCAGUCGGGAAUUUUGGGCAAUGGGGGAAACCCUGACCCAGCAACGCCGCGUGAAGGAUGAAGUAUUUCGGUAUGUAAACUUCGAAAGAAUGGGAAGAAUCAAUGACGGUACCAUUUAUAAGGUCCGGCUAACUACGUGCCAGCAGCCGCGGUAAUACGUAGGGACCAAGCGUUGUUCGGAUUUACUGGGCGUAAAGGGCGCGUAGGCGGCGUGACAAGUCACUUGUGAAAUCUCCGGGCUUAACCCGGAACUGCCAAGUGAUACUGUCGUGCUAGAGUGCGGAAGGGGCAAUCGGAAUUCUCGGUGUAGCGGUGAAAUGCGUAGAUAUCGAGAGGAACACCUGAGGUGAAGACGGGUUGCUGGGCCGACACUGACGCUGAGUGCGCGAAAGCCAGGGGAGCAAACGGGAUUAGAUACCCCGGUAGUCC